rnacentral:rRNA from 1 species
GGGGAAUAUUGGACAAUGGGGGAAACCCUGAUCCAGCAAUGCCGCGUGAAUGAUGAAGGCCUUAGGGUUGUAAAGUUCUUUCACCUGUGACGAUAAUGACGGUAGCAGGAGAAGAAGCCCCGGCUAACUCCGUGCCAGCAGCCGCGGUAAGACGGAGGGGGCUAGCGUUGUUCGGAAUGACUGGGCGUAAAGGGCGCGUAGGCGGUUUUUUAAGUGAGGCGUGAAAGCCCUGGGCUUAACCCAGGAGG